CAUAGCUCCUUUCAAUGAGAAUGAAGAAGAAACAUAGAAAGCAUUUGAACUUCCAAAGGCCUCAUUCUUCUUCAGUGACCAAAAUGAAGUUGACCCUUCAGCAUCCUUGCCUUACAGCCCUGUCCAGCUGAGCAGCAACCCUGUAUAGUGAAUUGAGAAUGGAAGAGCAGAAAUGGGAGAUAAAAUAAUACUUAUGAAUACUGUAUACCCCAUGAGAAGACUAAAGCAUUAUCCUGGAAGAUGAAAG